AUACGUAGGGUGCGAGCGUUAAUCGGAAUUACUGGGCGUAAAGCGUGCGCAGGCGGUUUUGUAAGACAGUGGUGAAAUCCCCGGGCUCAACCUGGGAACUGCCAUUGUGACUGCAAGGCUGGAGUGCGGCAGAGGGGGAUGGAAUUCCGCGUGUAGCAGGGAAAUGCGUAGAUAUGCGGAGGAACACCGAUGGCGAAGGCAAUCCCCUGGGCCUGCACUGACGCUCAUGCACGAAAGCGUGGGGAGCAAACAGGAUUAGAUACCCUGGUAGUCCACGCCCUAAACGAUGUCAACUGGUUGUUGGGAAUCUAUUUUCUCAGUAACGAAGCUAACGCGUGAAGUUGACCGCCUGGGGAGUACGGCCGCAAGGUUAAAACUUAAAGGAAUUGACGGGG
rnacentral:rRNA from 1 species